GCGUAGUUUUUCUUAAUACUUUGCCUAUUCACAGAGAGCGUUCGACACGAUGUCGAACGCAGUCGCCACUGAGCCAGGACGGCGAAUUGGCGACGGUCUCGUUCGGUAUCACAGUGUAUACCAAAGUAUUUAGAAAAACAAGCAUU
rnacentral:ncRNA from 1 species